rnacentral:snRNA from 1 species
GUGCUCGCUUUGGCAGCACAUAUACUAAAAUUGGAAUGAUACAGAGAAGAUUAGCAUGGCCCCUGCACAAGGAUGGCACGCAAAUUCAGGAAGCAUUCCAUAUCAAA